rnacentral:tRNA from 1 species
GCCUGGGUGGCUCAGUGGUUGAGUGUCUGCCUUUGGCUCAGAUCAUGAUCCUGGAGUCCUGGGAUCGAGUCCCACAUCAGGCU